rnacentral:lncRNA from 1 species
CACCCGGCCAAUGUUUAAGCAUUUGCUGAACGCCCAGCCAUGAUGAACUGGUAGCUGCGUUCAUACUUGUGAGCAUUGCCCAUCUCUUCUUU